rnacentral:rRNA from 1 species
GACGUAGGGGGCGAGCGUUGUCCGGAUUCAUUGGGCGUAAAGGGCUCGUAGGCGGCCAACUAAGUCGGACGUGAAAUCCCUCGGCUUAACCGGGGAACUGCGUCCAAUACUGGAUGGCUUGAGUUCGGGAGAGGGAUGCGGAAUUCCAGGUGUAGCGGUGAAAUGCGUAGAUAUCUGGAGGAACACCGGUGGCGAAGGCGGCAUCCUGGACCGACACUGACGCUGAGGAGCGAAAGCCAGGGGAGCAAACGGG